GAUGAACGCUGGCGGCGUGCUUAACACAUGCAAGUCGAACGGAAAGGCCCAAGCUUGCUUGGGUACUCGAGUGGCGAACGGGUGAGUAACACGUGGGUGAUCUGCCCUGCACUUCGGGAUAAGCCUGGGAAACUGGGUCUAAUACCGGAUAGGACGAUGGUUUGGAUGCCAUUGUGGAAAGUUUUUUCGGUGUGGGAUGAGCUCGCGGCCUAUCAGCUUGUUGGUGGGGUAAUGGCCUACCAAGGCGUCGACGGGUAGCCGGCCUGAGAGGGUGUAGGGCCACAUUGGGACUGAGAUACGGCCCAGACUCCUACGGGAGGCAGCAGUGGGGAAUAUUGCACAAUGGGCGCAAGCCUGAUGCAGCGACGCCGCGUGGGGGAUGACGGCCUUCGGGUUGUAAACUCCUUUCGCUAGGGACGAAGCGUUUUUGUGACGGUACCUGGAGAAGAAGCACCGGCUAACUACGUG
rnacentral:rRNA from 1 species